CCUUCUUAGCACAGUAGGCAGCGCAUCAGUCUUGCAAGUUGAAGGUCCUGAGUUCGAUCCUCAAAAGAAGGG
rnacentral:tRNA from 1 species